rnacentral:rRNA from 1 species
AGUGAACGCUGGCGGUAGGCCUAACACAUGCAAGUCGAACGGCAGCACAGGAGAGCUUGCUCUCUGGGUGGCGAGUGGCAGACGGGUGAGGAAUACAUCGGAAUCUACUCUGUCGUGGGGGAUAACGUAGGGAAACUUACGCUAAUACCGCAUACGACCUACGGGUGAAAGCAGGGGACCUUCGGGCCUUGCGCGAUUGAAUGAGCCGAUGUCGGAUUAGCUAGUUGGCGGGGUAAAGGCCCACCAAGGCGACGAUCCGUAGCUGGUCUGAGAGGAGGAUCAGGCACACUGGAACUGAGACACGGUCCAGAAUCCUACGGGAGGCAGCAGUGGGGAAUAUUGGACAAUGGGCGCAAGCCUGAUCCAGCCAUACCGCGUGGGUGAAGAAGGCCUUCGGGUUGUAAAGCCCUUUUGUUGGGAAAGAAAUCCAGCUGGCUAAUACCCGGUAGGGAUGACGGUACCCAAAGAAUAAGCACCGGCUAACUUCGUGCCAGCCGCCGCAGUAA